UGCGCAGGCGGAUCUGCAGGUAUCUCGUGAAAUCCCACGGCUCAACCGUGGAACUGCGGGGUAAACCGUGGAUCUUGAGGCAGGUAGGGGUCAGUAGAACCAUGUGUGGACCGGUGAAAUGGAUAGAUAUACAUGGGAACGCCGAUGGCGAAGGCAGCUGACUGGGCCUGUCCUGACGCUCAGGCACGAAAGCGUGGGGAGCGAACG
rnacentral:rRNA from 1 species